AACUCGACCACGCUCGCUCCCGUGAGGCGGCUCGCUUGCCGGCGAUCUCCGACGGACGGCUCGCUAGGAGGUACGCCGCCCGUUAGAACGCGUGCCGUUGCUACCGGCUUUCUUUCCGCGACGCCGCUAAGCACGCCUGCGUCCAGUCGGCGCGUACUCGCGUACCGCUGGCGGCCUCUUCCCGCGGCGCCGCCCGCGUUGGCGACGCGGUGCCCGAUGCCGGAGUGAAGCCAGCGGUUCACUGCUGUGGCGCCGCCUGCCGGAAGGGCCGGAAAGCGCACCCGGAGCCGACCCGCCGCCGCGCUGCCAGACGCCUGCAGUUCCCGUUCUGGCAGCGGCUCGGUGCAAGCGCAGGCCCAAGGGAGAUGUCAGCUGCGGAGACGUGCCCUUCCUCCACAGCACGGGAAAGCAAGUCGGGGAGAAGAGCUGGAGGCAGCUGAACCUAUAUGAGAAAAUGGAACGGAGAGAGCCUGCGAAGGAGGAGAUCCCUGAGAAAAAGCGCAACACCAGCCAGAAGCUCAGCCUCGGAUACCUGCACAUGGCCGUCAGACAGAAGACGGGCAUGAAGACGAGAGCAGGGUCAGACCCUAAAGAACAGCAAGGCCACCUUGGCUAUGGAGCAGACAGUGGACCUGAAAUUGCAACAAGAAACAGGCUGCUCUUCAUUAACAUCCGUCGUUGCCGUCAUCCUCCCUACGGCUUCUCCUGUAAGAAGAUGUGGAAGAAGAGAAACUGAGCACAAAGCUGCCACCAUAUGUGCAAAAACCCCUGCAGAAUAAAAAGUCCUGCUC
ensembl:lncRNA